rnacentral:snRNA from 1 species
GUGUUCACUGUGCAGCACACGUGCUAAAAUUGGAAUGACACAGACAAGAUUAGCACGGCCCCUGCCCAAGGAUGACAUGCAAAAAUUACUU